rnacentral:lncRNA from 1 species
GUUCUUCUAGUUGAUCGUAAUUGUUCGUAUUAGUUGACUGUUAGUAGUUCAAGUUGACUUUAGUACGAGCUUGUAAAAGUAUGAAUGGACUUGCUUCCCUGGAAAGAAAACUGAGUUUGUGUUGUACAGUAGAAAAGUUAUGAGACACAAAUCAGACAAAUGUUUACUACUACAGGGAUCAAUGGUGAGGUCUGACUGACCUGUCCAUAGUAAAUGUAAAUGACUCCCACCUUCACCCCAAGUCCAUGAUGUCAAAGUUUGGAAUAAAAU